rnacentral:rRNA from 1 species
GAUGAACGCUGGCGGCGUGCUUAACACAUGCAAGUCGAACGAAGCACUUUAUUUGAUUUCCUUCGGGACUGAUUAUUUUGUGACUGAGUGGCGGACGGGUGAGUAACGCGUGGGUAACCUGCCUUGUACAGGGGGAUAACAGUUGGAAACGGCUGCUAAUACCGCAUAAGCGCACAGCAUCGCAUGAUGCAGUGUGAAAAACUCCGGUGGUAUAAGAUGGACCCGCGUUGGAUUAGCUAGUUGGUGAGGUAACGGCCCACCAAGGCGACGAUCCAUAGCCGACCUGAGAGGGUGACCGGCCACAUUGGGACUGAGACACGGCCCAAACUCCUACGGGAGGCAGCAGUGGGGAAUAUUGCACAAUGGGCGAAAGCCUGAUGCAGCGACGCCGCGUGAGCGAAGAAGUAUUUCGGUAUGUAAAGCUCUAUCAGCAGGGAAGAUAAUGACGGUACCUGACUAAGAAGCACUGGCUAAAUACGUG